GAUGAACGCUAGCGGCAGGCCUAAUACAUGCAAGUCGAGGGAGAAUGUUGGAUUCGUCUGACAUGAAACCGGCGCACGGGUGCGUAACACGUAUGCAACCUACCUUUAACUGGGGUAUAGCUCAGAGAAAUCUGAAUUAAUCCCCCAUAAGACUACGACAUGGCAUCAUGAUGUAGUUAAAGCUCCGGCGGUUAAGGAUGGGCAUGCGGUACAUUAGCUAGUUGGUGAGGUAAUGGCUCACCAAGGCUACGAUGUAUAGGGGGUCUGAGAGGAUGAUCCCCACCACUGGUACUGAGACACGGACCAGACUCCUACGGGAGGCAGCAGUAGGGAAUAUUGGUCAAUGGACGCAAGUCUGAACCAGCCAUGCCGCGUGAAGGAUGAAGGCCCUAUGGGUCGUAAACUUCUUUUAUUAGGGAAGAAAAAACGGGAUGCGUCCUGUACUGACGGUACUUAAUGAAUAAGGAUCGGCUAACUUCGUGCCAGCCGCCGCCGCAG
rnacentral:rRNA from 1 species